AUGCGUGUGACAAAGCUCGCUAGGCUUCUCUUGGGACACCUGGCCAGGGAAUCCCUUAGGGUGGGGAUAAGAAUCCCUGGGCCAGAUCGAGAAAAACGAAGACUGCGGAGGAAAAUCAACGCAGCCAGGUUUGCGGAGUCAGCCCGCACUUUGUCACAAGACGUGGUAGGAGGACUAAAGAGCUUCCCCGGCCUUAGGCGCAAUGGCUGGACACAACACAAACGAAAUGUCUCCGGUGCGGAAAAGCUGGCGAAACUCAGGGCAAAGCAGAAACUCUGGGGGUCACAAAGAAGAAAGAAAAAUCAAGCACACAGAACUGUAUGUAGGGUCCUCUUCACCUGAUUGACCUGGGAAGGUAUUCUUUGGAUCAUCUUUCUUCCAUUCUGGGCUUCUGUUCCAUUAUUACCAUGACUGUGUGGGGUUUGCCUUGCCUCCAGCAAUGUCCAGGACUGAGGUGGGCAUGCCAAUCAUGAAGACGAUUUCAAAAAAUACCCAGAAAAAGAAGGCAUGCUCACAUGGCUAAAGAAUUAUUAAUAGGUACAUUAUAGUGUUGUCCACAAAAAUAUAACCACCUCUUGUGUAUUUGUAGAAAUUUAAUGAUUCAUUAUUGUUAUGACUACUUGUGUAAUUUCAAGACAUUUAGGAUUCCUUUGGCAAGAGUAAAAAGAAGAAGAAGAGCACACAAAAUAUUUUAAAGUGCAUUGUGCCUAAAUGCUCAAGGGGCACUUUUUGAAAGAUUUGAUACCUUGAUUGCAGAGUGUCAGUUUGGAGUAAUUGCUUCUCUCUCCACUGAGGAAAGUCCUUGUGACAAAUUUCCCUCAGAACUUUCACAGCUAUUGGCUUGAGCACCUAGGCACACAGUAACAUAUAUGAGUGGACAGUGAUACACACAUUGCACUUCAUGGUGUUUUCUCUCACAUAGCUUGUUUCCUGCCCUGAAGCCUCAGGUCCAGAUACUCUGAGAGCUGGAAUUCAGAAAGAUUAUAUGGUCAGUGCCAGUAACUGGACAGAGUUAUAGAGUAAAAGCUGACUGACUGCUUCUGACCCUUCGUAUUUCUCUAUGCUCUGAGUGAUAAGAAAAAGAAAGGGGGGGUUGUUUUGCUUUGUGACAGGAUUUUAUUUAGCCCAGGCUAGCCUUUAACUCACUUAUACACCAGAGGAUGUGAGUUCUCACAGCAACACCACAUCUGUUUUCAAUGGGAUUCUAGGGAUCAAACCCAGGGCCUUUUGAGCUUAGGUAAGCACUCUAUCAACUGAGCCAUAUCCCCAGCCCCCAAGUGGGGUAUUUCAUACCUAAUUUAAUACGGUCACCCGUCUAGGCAUCUUUUUAUAUAUGAUAGCAUUUAAUAACUACUAGUCAAUAUCAUGUAUAAAUUUUCUUUUAAGUGAUUUUAAGAAACAGUGUAAACAUAUAUUCCUUGUUAUGCAAUCUGAGUUCCAACUCACUGUCACUGUACCUGAAACACUGUGUGUUUUUGUUUAAUUAGGGGGAUGGCAUUUUCUGGAUCCACUAGCAUUCCUUAAUACAACAUGUUAAUGGUCAAAGGUAUUGGACACACACACACACACACACAGAGAGAGAGAGAGAGAGAGAGAGAGAGAGAGAGAGAGAGAGAGAGAGAGAGACUAAUCAGGAAUAUGGCUUCUGACUCUAGAACAGUCCUUCUUCUGUGUGUGCUGACCAGCCUGAAUGAUGUCAAAUUUGGCACCAUGCUAGUUUAUACAGUCUCACAGGUCUUAUAACAUAAAAUAAAAUAAACAAAGUAAAACA
rnacentral:lncRNA from 1 species